UACAGGGUGACAGCCCCGUACACAAAAGCGCAUGUGCUGUGAGCUCGAUGAGUAGGGCGGGACACGUGGUAUCCUGUCUGAAUAUGGGGGGACCAUCCUCCAAGGCUAAAUACUCCUGACUGACCGAUAGUGAACCAGUACCGUGAGGGAAAGGCGAAAAGAACCCCGGCGAGGGGAGUGAAAAAGAACCUGAAACCGUGUACGUACAAGCAGUGGGAGCACCCUUUGGGGUGUGACUGCGUACCUUUUGUAUAAUGGGUCAGCGACUUAUAUUCUGUAGCAAGGUUAACCGUAUAGGGGAGCCGGAGGGAAACCGAGUCUUAACCGGGCGUUAAGUUGCAGGGUAUAGACCCGAAACCCGGUGAUCUAGCCAUGGGCAGGUUGAAGGUUGGGUAACACUAACUGGAGGACCGAACCGACUAAUGUUGAAAAAUUAGCGGAUGACCUGUGGCUGGGGGUGAAAGGCCAAUCAAACCGGGAGAUAGCUGGUUCUCCCCGAAAGCUAUUUAGGUAGCGCCUCGUGAAUUCAUCUCCGGGGGUAGAGCACUGUUUCGGCUAGGGGGCCAUCCCGGCUUACCAACCCGAUGCAAACUGCGAAUACCGGAGAAUGUUAUCACGGGAGACACACGGCGGGUGCUAACGUCCGUCGUGAAGAGGGAAACAACCCAGACCGCCAGCUAAGGUCCCAAAGUCAUGGUUAAGUGGGAAACGAUGUGGGAAGGCCCAGACAGCCAGGAUGUUGGCUUAGAAGCAGCCAUCAUUUAAAGAAAGCGUAAUAGCUCACUGGUCGAGUCGGCCUGCGCGGAAGAUGUAACGGGGCUAAACCAUGCACCGAAGCUGCGGCAGCGACACUCAGGUGUUGUUGGGUAGGGGAGCGUUCUGUAAGCCUGCGAAGGUGUGUCGUGAGGCAUGCUGGAGGUAUCAGAAGUGCGAAUGCUGACAUAAGUAACGAUAAAGCGGGUGAAAAGCCCGCUCGCCGGAAGACCAAGGGUUCCUGUCCAACGUUAAUCGGGGCAGGGUGAGUCGACCCCUAAGGCGAGGCCGAAAGGCGUAGUCGAUGGGAAACGGGUUAAUAUUCCCGUACUUGGUGUUACUGCGAAGGGGGGACGGAGAAGGCUAUGUUGGCCGGGCGACGGUUGUCCCGGUUUAAGCGUGUAGGUGUGUGUUCCAGGUAAAUCCGGUU
rnacentral:rRNA from 1 species